rnacentral:snRNA from 1 species
UUGCUCGUUUCAGCAGCAACAGCACGUGUACUAAAAUUGGAAUGCUGCAGACAAGAUUAGCUUGGUCCCUGGGCAAAGAUGACACAUAAGUAGUGAAGUGUUCCAUAUUUCU